GCCCCCAUCGUCUAGCGGCUCAGGACACCUCCCUUUCACGGAGGUGACGGGGAUUCGAAUUCCCCUGGGGGUA
rnacentral:tRNA from 2 species